rnacentral:misc_RNA from 1 species
UUACUGAGUUUACGCUCUACAACCCUUUGUGAACAUACCUAUAACUGUUGCUUCGGCGGGUAGGGUCUCCGUGACCCUCCCGGCCUCCCGCCCCCGGGCGGGUCGGCGCCCGCCGGAGGAUAACCAAACUCUGAUUUAACGACGUUUCUUCUGAGUGGUACAAGCAAAUAAUCAAAACUUUUAACAACGGAUCUCUUGGUUCUGGCAUCGAUGAAGAACGCAGCGAAAUGCGAUAAGUAAUGUGAAUUGCAGAAUUCAGUGAAUCAUCGAAUCUUUGAACGCACAUUGCGCCCGCCAGCAUUCUGGCGGGCAUGCCUGUUCGAGCGUCAUUUCAACCCUCAAGCUCUGCUUGGUGUUGGGGCCCUACAGCUGAUGUAGGCCCUCAAAGGUAGUGGCGGACCCUCCCGGAGCCUCCUUUGCGUAGUAACUUUACGUCUCGCACUGGGAUCCGGAGGGACUCUUGCCGUAAAACCCCCAAUUUUCCAAAGGUUGACCUCGGAUCAGGUAGGAAUACCCGCUGAACUUAAGCAUAUCAAUAAGCGGAGGAAAAGAAACCAACAGGGAUUGCCUCAGUAACGGCGAGUGAAGCGGCAACAGCUCAAAUUUGAAAUCUGGCCCUAGGCCCGAGUUGUAAUUUGCAGAGGAUGCUUUUGGUGCGGUGCCUUCCAAGUUCCCUAGAACGGGACGCCAGAGAGGGUGAGAGCCCCGUACAGUUGGACACCAAGCCUUUGUAAAGCUCCUUCGACGAGUCGAGUAGUUUGGGAAUGCUGCUCAAAAUGGGAGGUAUAUUUCUUCUAAAGCUAAAUACCGGCCAGAGACCGAUAGCGCACAAGUAGAGUGAUCGAAAGAUGAAAAGCACUUUGAAAAGAGGGUUAAACAGCACGUGAAAUUGUUAAAAGGGAAGCGCUUGUGACCAGACUUGCGUCCGGUGAAUCACCCAGCUCUCGCGGCUGGGGCACUUCGCCGGCUCAGGCCAGCAUCAGCUCGCUGUCGGGGACAAAAGCUUCAGGAACGUAGCUCUCUUCGGGGAGUGUUAUAGCCUGUUGCAUAAUACCCUUCGGCGGGCUGA